CAGCAGCCGCGGUAAUACGGAGGAUCCUAGUGUUAUCCGGAUUUAUUGGGUUUAAAGGGAGCGUAGGCGGGAGGUCAAGUCAGCUGUGAAAUGUAUCUGCUUAACGGGUACACUGCAGUUGAAACUGGUUUUCUUGAGUGCGUAAGAGGCAGGCGGAAUUCGUUGUGUAGCGGUGAAAUGCUUAGAUAUGACGAGGAACUCCUAUUGCGAAGGCAGCUUGCUGGGUCGUUACUGACGCUGAUGCUCGAAGGUGCGGGGAUCAAACAGGAUUAGAUACCCUGGUAGUCCGCACAGUAAACUAUGGAUACUCUCUGCCGGCGAUAUAGUAUCGGUGGCCAAGCGAAAGCGUUAAGUAUCCCACCUGGGGAGUACGUUCGCAAGAAUGAAACUCAAAGGAAUUGACGG
rnacentral:rRNA from 1 species